AACGAACGCUGGCGGCAGGCCUAACACAUGCAAGUCGAGCGCGCCCUUCGGGGUGAGCGGCGGACGGGUGAGUAACGCGUGGGAACGUGACCUUUUCUACGGAAUAGCCUCGGGAAACUGAGAGUAAUACCGUAUACGACCUUUGGGGGAAAGAUUUAUCGGAAAAGGAUCGGCCCGCGUUGGAUUAGGUAGUUGGUGGGGUAAUGGCCUACCAAGCCGACGAUCCAUAGCUUGUUUGAGAGGAUGAUCAGCCACACUGGGACUGAGACACGGCCCAGACUCCUACGGGAGGCAGCAGUGGGGAAUCUUAGACAGUGGGGGCAACCCUGAUCUAGCCAUGCCGCGUGAGUGAUGAAGGCCUUAGGGUUGUAAAGCUCUUUCAGCUGGGAAGAUAAUGACGGUACCAGCAGAAGAAGCCCCGGCUAACUCCGUG
rnacentral:rRNA from 1 species